rnacentral:lncRNA from 1 species
GCUGGGUCCAUUGCCUUACCUCGCGCGCGCUCACGAAGGAUUAGCCAUUUUUCUUUUUCUUUUGUAAUGAAUCUGCUAUUGUCCGGUUGGAAUAUUAUCGCAAUUCUACGAUUAUAACACCCUAAAGAUUGAUUGUGAACAUGGUUUGACAUGUUACUACAAACGCUGAGGGAACUUUUUAACUUUUCAACGACGGUGGAAAGAUGCAUUUUGGAAUGGGGAUCUGGACGCGCCAUCAAAACGGAUUUAUUUCGACAUAAAUGAUGGACAUUAUCGAACAAAUUAACAUUUCUUGUGGAAGUGGGAGACCUUCCGAGUGCAUUCAGCUGAAGAUCAGCAAAGGUAAGAUAAUAUUUUUUACCUAUUUCAGCGUUUUGGGGAUACCGUGGCUGGACGGCUAACUGAAUAGCAUGGUGCUCAGUACUCAGAAUAUUGAACAAUGUGCUUUCUACGUAAAGUUAUUUUGAAAUCUGACACAGCGGGUGCAUAAAAGAGUACUGUAUCUAUAAUUCUUAAAAUAAUUGUUAUGUAUUUUGUCAACGUUUAUGAUGAGUAUUUUUGUAAAUUCACCGGAAAUUUUGGGGAGAAUACAUUUUCUGAACGUCACGCGCCAAUGUAAAAUGGGUUUUUGGAUAUAAAUAUGAACUUGAUGGAACAAAAAAUGCAUGUAUUGUCUAACAUAAUGUCCUAGGAGUGUCUUCUGAUGAAGAUCGUCAAAGGUUAGUGCAUCAUUUUAGCUGGUUUUGUGCUUAUGGACGGCUAACCUUGCUUUGAAAAUGGCUGUCCUUGCUAAGAAAAUGGCUGUGUUGUUGUUUUUUGCUGUGGUUGUAUCCUAACAUAAUCUAAUGUUUUGCUUUCGCUGUAAAGCCUUUUUGAAAUCGGACAACGUGGUUGGAUUUAGGAGAGGUUUAUCUUUCAAAUGGUGUAAAAUAGUCGUAUGUUUGAGAAUUGUGGUAAUUGUGGUAUUUUAGUUGUUUUUGUAUUUCGCACCAUGCGAUCCCAUUGGCUGUUGGCUAGGGGUUCCGCUAGCGGAACGCCUAGAUGUAAGAAGUUUUAACAUUCACAAAGCCGCGGGCCAGACGGAUUACCAGGACGUGUACUCAGAGCAUGCAUGGACCAACCGGCAAGUGUCUUCCCUGACAUUUUUAAUCUCUCACUGACUGAGUCUGUAAUACCUACAUGUUUCAAGCAGACCUCCAUAGUCCUUGUGCCCAAGAAAGUGAAGGUGACCUGCCUAAAUGAUUACAACACCAUAGCACUCACGUCGGUAGCCAGGAAGUGCUUUGAAAGGCUGGUCAUUGCUCAAAUCAAUGCCAUCAUCCCAGAAACCCCAGACCCACUCCAAUUCAUAUAUUACCCCAACAGAUCCACAGAUGAUGCAAUCUUAAUCACACUCCACACUGCCCUUUCCCACCUGGACAAAAGGAAUGCAGUUCAUUGAAUAAAGCUCAGCGUUCAACACCAUAGUGCCCACAAAACUCAUCACUAAGCUUAGGACCCUGGGACUAAACACUUCCCUCUGCAACUGGAUCCUCGUGUCAUGGUUCCACCUGUCACCAGAUUGCGGCAGAGACCGUCCUAGAGACAUUAAUGACACUCUGGUGUGACCUAUUACUCAUUAUGAUUUCCCUUUUAAAAGAGGUGUGUUUUCUGGUGUUCUUUGCAGAAGCUUGAAUUGUUUACUGUGUUUACCACGUUUGUUCCCUAAGUGAGUUUUUCAGACUUAGUGUUUCUUGUUUUUUCUAGUGUACUGUUAUCCUGCGGUGUCACGAUUGUCGUAUGAAGGAGUGGACCAAAGCGCAGCGUGUGUAUCGUUCCACAUUUUAUUUAAACUGUGAAACUAUGCACGACAUACAAAUAAACUCAUAAACAAAACAACAAACCGCGACGAAGAGGUGCAACAUACACUUACUCAAAAUAAUCUCCCACAAAACCUAGUGGGAAAAACAACAACUUAAAUAUGAUCCCCAAUUAGAGACAACGAUGACCAGCUGCCUCUAAUUGGAGAUCAUCCCCCCAAAAAACAUAGAAAUACAGAAACUAGAACCCCACAUAGAAAUACAUAAACUAGACAAAACCCCAACAUAGAAAAAAGAAACUAGAACCAACAUAGAAAUAAAUAAACUAGACAAAACCCCCUGUCACGCCCUGACCUACUCUACCAUAGAAAAUAAAAGCUUUCUAUGGUCAGGACGUGACAGUACCUCCCCCCCCAAAAAAAGGUGCGGACACCGAACGCACAACCUUAAACAACAAAAAAAGACAGGGAGGCUUAGGGUGGGUGUCUAAUGUCGGUGGCGGCUCUGAUGCAGGACGAAGAACCUUCACAUCCUGCGGAUCCUUCUGCAUCGGAGGCGGUUCUGGUGCGGGACGAAGAACCCUCUCAUCCUGCUUAUCCACCAGCAUAGGAGGUGGCUCCGGUUCGGGGCGUAGCCCCCGCUCCACUAGCUGAUCCCUCUGCUUUCGUGUCACCGGACCGCGGAUCAUCGCCGGAGGCUCCAGACUGCAGACCGCUGCUGGAGGCUCCGGACUGCGGACUGCCACUGGAGGCUCCGGACUGCGGGCCGUCGCUGGAGGCUCCGGACUGAGGGCCGUCGCUGGAGGCUCCGGACUGAGGGCCGUCGCUGGAGGCUCCGGACUGAGGGCCGUCUCAGGAGGUUCCGGACUGCGGGCCGUCUCAGGAGGUUCCGGACUGCGGGCCGUCUCAGGAGGUUCCGGACUGCGGGCCGUCUCAGGAGGUUCUGGACGAAGAAAUACAGAAAUACAUAGAAAUACAGAAACUAGAACCCCACAUAGAAAUACAGAAACUAGACAAAUCCCCCAACAUAGAAGAAAGAAACUAGAACCAACAUAGAAAUAAAUAAACUAGACAAAACCCCCUGUCACGCCCUGACCUACUCUACCAUAGAAAAUAAAAGCUUUCUAUGGUCAGGACGUGACAUGCGGCUUCUGUUUAUCAGUCAAGUAUUUAUGAAUAUCCUUAACCACUGAUUCCUCAUCUGGUCUCUUCUCUGCACCUGGGUCCAACCUCAACUCGUCACAGCAAGCUUCUGCCAAAACUAGGACCCAGCAGAGAUCACCCAAAUCAAGAAUGUUGUAACCCACCAAGGAGCACUGCUGGGACGGUAGCAAGAACAACUCUUCCAAAUAUCAGAGACCCUCCGGGCACUUAGCGACUCCCUCUAACCACAGUCCAACCUCAACCCAGGAGGAGCCAAUGCCCAAGUCUCAUCGCCCAGUGCUACAGGCGUCGCCAUAGUUCCUCCAGGGAACCUGCACCGGGAACCCAAGACCCUAGCCCCUGAGCGGUAUGACGGCCACCCGGGAGGAUGCAAGGGGUUCCUCACUCAGUGUUCUCUGGUGUUCGAGCUACAGUCCGCCUUGUUCCACACCGAUCAGGCCAUGAUCACCUACAACAUCUCUAUACUCUCGGGCAAGGCCCUGGUGUGGGCAGCGGUGUGGUGGGAACAGCAGCCAUAAUCCUGCAGCUCCAUAUUAGCCUUCACUGCCGAGCUGCAACAAGGCUUCGGCCACCCAGUCGGAAUGAGGAGGACAAGAAACCUCACCCAUGCGCCUUUCUCUCCAAGCGGUUCUCGCCAGCAGAACGCAACUACGAUGUAGGCAACAGGGAGCUCUUGGCAGUUAAGUGGGUCCUUGAGGGGUGGAGACACUGUUUGGAGGGGGCACCUCAUCCUUUUGUGAUCUGGAGGGACCAUAAGAACUCGGUCUCCAUUCAAGAAGCCAAGAGGUUGAACGCUCACCAGGCUAGGUGGGCUCUGUUUUUUAACAAUUUCAAUUUCACACUAGCCUAUCGCCUGAGAUCCAAAUCAGAAAGUAGACACCCUGUCCCAUCAACACAGUGUCUCUAACGGGGAGAGGGACUCUGAGCCCAUUAUCCCCAGCUCCCGCAUUGUGGCCCCUGUGAUAUGGAGUAUUGAGACCACGGUACGACAAGCCCAGACUCGCAAACCUGACCCCAGCAAGGAUCCCGCCUAACAGACUUUAUGUUCCGCCAUCAGCCCGUUCUCGAGUGCCACAAUGGGGACACUCCUCUAAAUUAACUGGGCAACCAGGGAUUAAUCGGACACUGGAGGACACAGAGGGUAAUGCGUACGGCCCAGUAUAUCACUGGGGCCAAGCUUCCUGCCAUCCAGGACUAGGCAGUGUCUGAGGAAGACCCAAGUCAUAGACUGUUCUCUCCGCUACUGCACGGCAAGCGGUACCGGAGUGCCAAGUCUAGGACCAAAAGGCUCCUUAACAGCUUCUACCCCCAAGCAUGCUGAACAAUUAAUCAAAUUGCUACCCGGACUAUUUGUUUUUACACGGCUGCUACUCGCUGUUAAUUAUCUAUGCACAGUUACUUUACAUGUACAAAUUACCUCGACUAACCUGUUUCCCUGCACAUUGACUCUGACAAUUAAAAUGUGAUUUGAUUUGAUGUGGGCAGGAUAACAGAAUGCCUCAUUCUUCCCCUUCAGAUUGGAAUUUAUGUAGACAGAAUCUGACAUCUCAGGAAAGUGUUACACUUCGUAGGUUCAGAGCAGAUGGUAGCCCAGCUCCAGCACUUUACUGAUUUCUACCAUAGCACACAUGCCUGUGGUGGGGGACUGUACUAAUUGCUUGUGGAUGUUAAGCGCAUGUGGCCUCCACCACUGCCGGUGGGGGCCUGCGCUAAUUGCAUGUGGAUGUGAAGAUAGGAGUCUGCUAUGAGGUGGGUCUGACUUUUCUCAAAAUAUUCAGAAGGGUUAAAUUCCUCAGAGUUCAAUAGUAAGGUGAAAGCAGAAAACAUUUCUGGGGAGAUUUGAAUUAUAAUCAGUAGAUUGAUCCUCCUACCACAAGAAGUGCCAGAAGAUGUAGAAGGUUCCAGUCCACAAAAUAUUUCAAAAUGUUUAAAUCUGUCUCUCAGAUGGAGUGCCUAAUGGAGUGACUAAUCUCCCGACUGCAUGAAUGUUAUUCAACGUCUAUCUGUAGUUAUGAAUGACAGCCCCAGCUUUGAUCAGGAGUUGUACAUCAUCCAGGGCAGCGGCAGCCACACUGCAUGGUCUACAUCGUCAUUCAUUAGUGGAGCCUUUUAUGAUGACAAACUUACACCCCCAAGGGCUGCCAGGCACUCCACAAGAAUUUGCCUCAGCAACUCCAGGCCUUUGACACGGUUCCCUCUGAACAGAAAUGUGUCCUGGAGGAGAUAGUAUUGACCAGUUUCCUUCUGUGUCGGUCGAUGCCAGCACCUUUAAGUGCUCGUUAAUAGGAGGAAAACACAGGACUGCUGGAAUCAAAUCAAAUCAAAUCAAAUUGCAUUAAUCACAUGCGCCGAAUACAACAGGUGUAGACCUUACAGUGAAAUGCUUACUUACGAGCCACUAACCAACAGUGGAGUUUCGAAAAAUACAGAUAAAUACAGAUAAUAAGAGAUAAAAGUAACAAGUAAUUGAGCAGCAGUAAAAAAUAAAAUAAGAAUAUAUACAGGGCGGUGCCGAGUCAAUGUGUGGGGGCACCGGUUAGUUGAGGUAGUAUGUACAUGUAGGUAGAGUUAAUUAAAGUGACUAUGCAUAGACGACAACAGAGAGUGGCAGUGGUGUGGAGAGGGGGCGGAGGGGGGGAGGGUCAAUGCGAAUAGUCUGGGUAGCCAUUUGACUAGAUGUUCAGGAGUCUUAUGGCUUGGGGGUAGAAGCUGUUAAGAAGCCUCUUGGAAGAGAGCAAUUCAUCGACCGAUUACAUCCACAGCACUGACCAGCAUUUCCUGGAGGUUCUCUCUCUCUCUCUACUAAUUGGAGAUACAUUCAACAAGAGAUACACAGUAGUUUGUCUGGGAGGAAGUUGACAUUGUUGUCUGUAUAAGUUUACUAAGAGAUGCAUCUAGGCCCAGGCACAGAUUCUCUAGCUGCCAGUCAGCAUCAUCUAGGCCCAGGAACAGAUCCUCUCUAGCUGCCAGUCAGCAUCAUCUAGGCCCAGGCACAGAUCCUGUCUAGCUGUCAGUCAGCAUCAUCUAGGCCCAGAUCCUCUCUAGCUGCCAGUCAGCAUCAUCUAGGCCCAGGCACAGAUCCUCUCUAGCUGCCAGUCAACUUCAUCUAGGCCCAGGCACAGAUCCUCUCUAGCUGCCAGUCAGCAUCAUCUAGGCCCAGGCACAGAUCCUCUCUAGCUGCCAGUCAACUUCAUCUAGGUCCAGGCACAGAUCAUUUCUAGCUGCCAGUCAGCUUCAGUAUCCUGUGGCUCUUUCUGGCCUCCAGAGUAGCAGGGUCAGGGGUCACAGAGCUCUCUGGUGGAGAGAUGAGCUACAGGCUAACCCUACACAUUUCUAACUCUACACAUCUCCUCUACCUCUACACAUCUCCUCUAACACUACACAUCUCCUCUACCUCUACACAUCUCCUCUAACUCAACACAUCUUCUCUACCUCUAAACAUCUCCUCUAACUCAAUACAUCUCCUCUACCUCUACACAUCUCCUCUACCUCUACACAUCUCCUCUAACUCAACACAUCUUCUCUACCUCUACACAUCUCCUCUAACUCAACACAUCUCCUCUACCUCUACACAUCUCCUCUAACUCUACACAUCUCCUCUACCUCUACACAUCUCCUCUAACUCUACACAUCUCCUCUACCUCUACACAUCUCCUCUAACUCUAAACAUCUCCUCUAACUCUACACAUCUCCUCUACCUCUACACAUCUCCUCUACCUCUACACAUCUCCUCUAACUCUACACAUCUCCUCUAACUCUACACAUCCCCUCUAACGCUACACAUCUCCUCUACCUCUACACAUAUCCUCUAACUCUACACAUCUCUUCCAACCCUACACAUCUCCUCUAACUCUACACAUCUCCUCUAACUCUACACAUCUCCUCUAACUCUACACAUCCCCUCUAACGCUACACAUCUCCUCUACCUCUACACAUAUCCUCUAACUCUACACAUCUCUUCCAACCCUACACAUAUCCUCUAACUCAACACAUCUCCUCUAACUCUACACAUCUCCUCUACCUCUACACAUCUCCUCUAACUCUACACGUCUCCUCUACCUCUACACAUCUCCUCUACCUCUACACAUCUCCUCUACCUCUACACAUCUCCUCUAACUCUACACAUCUCCUCUAACUCUACACAUCUCCUCUACCUCUACACAUCUAAUCUAACUCUACACAUCUUCGUUAACUCGACACAUCUCCAUAGCCAAUUACAAGUCAUCAAGUGUCAGCUGGGUUACGCUUUGCUCUGACACUAGAUAAUUAAUAUUGAUUCCUCCCACAUAUUCAAACACACAUUGGAGGUGGUGGAGACAAAUCAUCCCUUUGAUGAAUUAAACCUCACCAAGCAUUACAUGUGAUUUUAUCAAUGUCUUUUGGUCUUUGCUGGCUCCCCUCUGCUCCAUGCUGAAUCCAGGCCAUGUGUGUGAGUCAUGGCCAGCCAAGCGCCAGUGGUGCUGCUCUGGCUCUGGAGCUCUGGCUAUAGACCUAGAGGCCAGUGACUCAGUGGUGUUGAAUCACAAAGGCCAGGCUGUGGAAAGCCACAGGCCCCACAAAGACAUGCAUUCUCUCCUCAGCCCUUUGUGAACCAGGCCCAGUGCAUACAUCUGUCAGAGAGAUCUGUUCUGUUCGUGAACAACGCCCCCCUUCACGAUGCGGCGGCCGCGGCACAGGGCUCACAGGGAAGCUACCCUACAGGAGACUGAAAAACAACCUCAAUUAGGCACAGCAAAGGACGUGCAGACUGGCAGUCCCCAUGUUGAAAGGACAAAGACCACCUACAGAACUAAGCCAACAUCAGCAAGAACCUAAUGCAAUUGGCAUCGAAUUUCAAUGUGAAGGUGACGACCUACACGCCAGGAGGAUGAAUUUCAACUAUACCAGCCAGAAUAUAGCAUGAGCUUAAAAGUCACCACUAGACAGUCUUCAGAGGACCAGAGAUCCAUGCUGGACAACCUGGCCUCCCAUCUACGACCAACCGAUCGAAGUGCAGCUCAGAGACCUGAGCCCUAGGACCAUGCCUCAGGACUACCUGGCAUGAUGACUCCUUGCUGUCCCCAGUCCACCUGGCCAUGCUGCUGCUCCAGUUUCAACUGUUCUGCCUGCGGCUAUGGAACCCUGACCUGUUCACCGGACGUGCUUGUUGCACCCUCGACAACUACUAUGAUUAUUAUUAUUUGACCAUGCUGGUCAUUUAUGAACAUUUUAACAUUUUGACCAUGUUCUGUUAUAAUAUCCACCCGGCACAGCCAGAAGAGGACUGGCCACCCCUCAUAGCCUGGUUCCUCUCUAGGUUUCUUCCUAGGUUUUUGGCCUUUCUAGGGAGUUUUUCCUAGGGAGUUUUUCCUAGCCACCGUGCUUCUUUCACAUGCAUUGCUUGCUGUUUGGGGUUUUAGGCUGGGUUUCUGUACAGCACUUUGAGAUAUCAGCUGAUGUAUGUAGGGCUAUAUAAAUACAUUUGAUUUGAUUUGAUUUAAGUUUGGGGUUGUUUUUCAGGGUUUUUUUUGUUUGAGGUGCAUUUCGGGGUCUGCACCUUUGGGGGGGGGGGGGGGGUACUGUCACGUCCUUACCAGUAAAAGGGGUUAUUUCUUAUUGUAGUUUGGUCAGGGCGUGGCAGGGGGUGUUUUUCUGUGUGUUUUCGGGUUAUGAUCUAUGUUCUUCUAUUUCUAUGUUUAUUCUAGGGUAUCUAUUUCUAUGUUGGAAUUGUUUGGGGUUGGUCUCUAAUUGGAGGCAGCUGAAUCUCGUUGCCUCUGAUUAGAGACCAUAUUUAAGUAGUUUUUUUUUUCAUUGUGUUUGUGGGUGGUUACAUUUCUGUUUAGUUGUCUAACCUGACAGAACUGUGGGCUGUCGUUUUUGUUUCUUUGUUUAUAGUGUUCUCUGUUUAAUAAAUACAAGAUGAGCACUAACCACGCUGCGCCGUGGUCUACUCCCUUCAAC